UACGGAGGGAGCUAGCGUUGUUCGGAAUUACUGGGCGUAAAGCGCGCGUAGGCGGCUGUUCAAGUCAGAGGUGAAAGCCCGGGGCUCAACCCCGGAACUGCCUUUGAAACUAGAUAGCUAGAAUCAUGGAGAGGUCAGUGGAAUUCCGAGUGUAGAGGUGAAAUUCGUAGAUAUUCGGAAGAACACCAGUGGCGAAGGCGACUGACUGGACAUGUAUUGACGCUGAGGUGCGAAAGCGUGGGGAGCGAACCGG
rnacentral:rRNA from 1 species